rnacentral:rRNA from 1 species
UACGUAGGGGGCUAGCGUUGUCCGGAAUCAUUGGGCGUAAAGAGCGUGUAGGCGGUCCGGUAAGUCCGCUGUGAAAGUCGGGGGCUCAACCCUCGAAUGCCGGUGGAUACUGUCGGGCUAGAGUGCGGAAGGGGCAAUCGGAAUUCUCGGUGUAGCGGUGAAAUGCGUAGAUAUCGAGAGGAACACCAGAGGUGAAGACGGGUUGCUGGGCCGACACUGACGCUGAGGCGCGAAAGCCAGGGGAGCAAACGGG